UUUGUAAUGUCUUUAAUAUACAAGAGAGAGUUUAGAGACUUCAAAAAAAUAUAAGCUCAACAACUAUUAAGAGGUAAGAUUUUUUUUUUUUUUUUUUUUUGCAAAGUAAACUAAAAUAAGGUGACAAUAUAUAUUAGGAAUAUUAGAUAUCAUGUGCAAAAGGACUAGGUGAUAGAUAAUGUUUGAUAAUGAUUGGAGGCAGAGGAUUACUGCGACACGAACACAUAAAUAAAAGCUAUUGAAAUUUGCAUUCAAACAACAAAAUUCAUGAGUAUAAGGUUUUGAAAAUUUUACAUUUAUAUGAGCAAAA
rnacentral:lncRNA from 1 species